rnacentral:rRNA from 1 species
CGCGGCCUAUCAGCUUGUUGGUGGGGUAAUGGCCUACCAAGGCGUCGACGGGUAGCUGGUCUGAGAGGAUGAUCAGCCACACUGGGACUGAGACACGGCCCAGACUCCUACGGGAGGCAGCAGUGGGGAAUCUUGCGCAAUGGGCGAAAGCCUGACGCAGCAACGCCGCGUGCGGGAAGAAGGCCUUCGGGUUGUAAACCGCUUUCAGCAGGAACGAAAAUGACGGUACCUGCAGAAGAAGGUGCGGCCAACUACGUGCCAGCAGCCGCGGUGACACGUAGGCACCAAGCGUUGUCCGGAUUUAUUGGGCGUAAAGAGCUCGUAGGCGGUUCAGUAAGUCGGGUGUGAAAACUCUGGGCUCAACCCAGAGCCGCCACCCGAUACUGCUGUGACUAGAGUCCGGUAGGGGAGUGGGGAAUUCCUAGUGUAGCGGUGAAAUGCGCAGAUAUUAGGAGGAACACCGGUGGCGAAGGCGCCACUCUGGGCCGGAACUGACGCUGAGGAGCGAAAGCGUGGGUAGCAAACAGGAUUAGAUACCCUGGUAGUCCACGCCGUAAACGUUGGGCACUAGGUGUGGGCCUCAACCAACGAGGUCCGUGCCGUCGCUAACGCAUUAAGUGCCCCGCCUGGGGAGUACGG